GUAAGAGUUUUGUUUUCCGUUAAAAAAUUGUUUAUAUUAAAUUGUGUUAUUUUAAGAAAUAAUAUUUUAUUUGAAUCUCUAAUUGACUUUUCUUGACCGCAUGUAUACAAUGUCGUUUCCUAGACGAUGCGGUUUGCAUUGUUGAUGAUUAUUUUGACUGACGUCGCCAUUUAUCAAAAAAAUAUUAAAUUCAGAUUAUAAUUGUGUGGAAAAUAUUUCUGGGACUGAAUAGAAGGAAUGAAGUAUUAUACAGAUUGCAAAUUGCGUGAUCAUAGAGUGAGAGCAUUACACAAGUGUCCCGGCAUCUAAG